GUGGGGAAUAUUGGACAAUGGGCGAAAGCCUGAUCCAGCCAUGCCGCGUGUGUGAAGAAGGUCUUCGGAUUGUAAAGCACUUUAAGUUGGGAGGAAGGGCAGUAAGUUAAUACCUUGCUGUUUUGACGUUACCGACAGAAUAAGCACCGGCUAACUUCGUGCCAGCAGCCGCGGUAAUACGAAGGGUGCAAGCGUUAAUCGGAAUUACUGGGCGUAAAGCGCGCGUAGGUGGUUUUGUAAGUUGAAGGUGAAAUCCCCGGGCUCAACCUGGGAACUGCCUCCAAAACUGCAUGACUAGAGUACGGUAGAGGGUAGUGGAAUUUCCUGUGUAGCGGUGAAAUGCGUAGAUAUAGGAAGGAACACCAGUGGCGAAGGCGACUACCUGGACUGAUACUGACACUGAGGUGCGAAAGCGUGGGGAGCAAACAGGAUUAGAUACCCGGGUAGUCC
rnacentral:rRNA from 1 species